rnacentral:rRNA from 1 species
AGUGAACGCUGGCGGUAGGCCUAACACAUGCCAGUCGAACGGCAGCACAGUAAGAGCUUGCUCUUACGGGUGGCGAGUGGCGGCCGGGUGAGGAAUACAUCGGAAUCUACUUUUUCGUGGGGGAUAACGUAGGGAAACUUACGCUAAUACCGCAUACGCCCUACGGGUGACAGCAGGGGAUUUUCGGACAUUGUGCGACUGAAUGAGCCGAUGUCGGAUUCGCUAGUUGGCGGGGUAAAGGCACACCAAGGCGACGAUCCGGAGCUGGUCGGAGCGGAUGGUCGACCACACUGGAACUGAGACACGGUCGAGACGCCUACGAGGGGAGGCAGUGGGGAAGAUUAGAGAAUAGGGGCAGGCAGGAUCCAGCCGUACCGCGUGGGGGAAGAAGGCGUUCGGGUUGUAGAGACCUUUUGUUGGGAGAGAAAAGCAGCUGGUUAAUACCCCGCUGUUCUGACGGUACCCAAAGAAUAAGCGCCGGCUAACUUCGUG